AGAAUCAACGCUGGCGGCGUGCCUAACACAUGCAAGUCGAACGAGAAAGUGGAGCAAUCCAUGAGUAAAGUGGCGCACGGGUGAGUAACACGUGACUAACCUACCUUUUAGUGGGGGAUAACCUAGGGAAACCUGGGCUAAUACCGCAUAACACUUACGAGUCAAAGCAGCAAUGCGCUGAAAGAGGGGGUCGCGGUCGAUUAGUUAGUUGGCAGGGUAAUGGCCUACCAAGACUGUGAUCGAUAUCCGGCCUGAGAGGGCGCACGGACACACUGGAACUGAAACACGGUCCAGACUCCUACGGGAGGCAGCAGUGGGGAAUUUUGCGCAAUGGGGGAAACCCUGACGCAGCAACGCCGCGUGGAGGAUGAAGUCCCUUGGGACGUAAACUCCUUUCGAUCGGGACGAUAAUGACGGUACCGGAAGAAGAACGCCCCGGCUAACUUCGCGCCAGCAGCCGC
rnacentral:rRNA from 1 species